rnacentral:lncRNA from 1 species
GGCGCCAUCUUUGGCCCUGGCAUGAGCUUCCUGUGGGCACGGAGCUCUACUCGCACGAUGGCCGGGAUCGGUAGCGGUUUCAGCCGCGCUGAGGGCGUGUGGAGGCGCCUGUCCCCGGUGCUAAGGUCUGCGGUGCUCCUCCUCUUCCGCGGGGUUCCUCCGAAACUCUGCGCCGGGAGCAGCACUCACCCGGGGACGGCCACGCCACGGACUCCGCCCCGCAAUGCCCGCAACCGCCAUGGCCACUUUGGCUCUUCUUCCCCCCCCCUUUUCCAGGUACGUCACUUCCUCCCAUGCGGGGAGCCGGUGAGUCUCAGUGGAGGGCGGGCGGCCGGGACCGCGGCAGUGCUGAAUGACCGACAGCUCCGCCCGCCUCCCAGCUGGAACCGCCUUUUGCCCGGGUCUGGCGAGUGGCGCUUGCGAGCGGCUGCGGGUGUGAGCCGAUGUGCAGAGAGGAGACGCAGCAGAAAGUCUGGUAGCAGAAGAACAUUUACAUGCCCUGCACCUGGUGUGGCAACCUGAAAUGGUUUCUGAUGGCUUUAUCUGAUUUUUUUGAUGGCUUUAUGGCCGCCUAGGGAGCUGCUGCUGUGUUGAGAGGCCACCUCUGCUCUGCUGUCUGUUGAACAUAUGCAAAACUGAUUUUGUAGACUUUAAAUUAACUUUGAGGCAGGCACAUGGUAGUGCCGGGGAGGAAAGCAUAGCACAGUGGUGCAGGGUCGCACGUCUAGCCAGAGGCCGCUGCUACUUUGGGUUGUGACUGUCGGGAGGUGACCAAAACUCGUGUUACUUGCCCUCCACGGCGAGAGUGGCACAAUCGGGAGCAGACGAACGGAAAGGUUCCGCCUUGCCUGGUGUGUCCUACGCGUCUAGUGGGAACGGGGUAGUGACUCCCAGCAGAAAAACGUGUGAGGAGAAAAGCGUCGUUAAUCGGAGCUCGCAAAGCCGGUGGAGAGCUGGGCUUUCAGAUCGCGGUUGUGCUCCUAUUUCAGUCCCACAGAAGAGAAGGUUCGCAGCAGUAGCCGUGAGAUUUCCCGGCCGUUCCGACCGGGUGCCACAAGCCUGCCCGCAGGCACGGG